CUUCAAUUACUGAGGGGGUCGUGCCACCGUCGGCGCAGAGACUACGUGGGUGUGCAAAGGGAACAAAAUCAGAUCCCAGCCCGCAGGGUUCAGGUUGUUCACAUAGCUGACGGGAGAGGCGACUGACAGGACAGUGCUCUCGGGGGCAGCUCAUCUUCCAGGUCACGGUCGAUCCGGGAAAAGCCUGCUCACCUUUCCUCUUUGCUGGAGAGGGAGCCUGGAUGUCCCGUGCUGCCUGGCCUUUUCCCAACACACCAACUCCACUAAGGGCAGGUUUUGCAUAAUGCAUUGAAGAAUGGAGUUAAUGUCAGUGAAGGAGUUCCUGACCUUCUAAAACUUGGUCUGAAACAGCAGGAACGUGUGGCAAUAAAACAACAAUGCAAACACUG